rnacentral:rRNA from 1 species
UCCUUAGAUGUUCUGGGCCGCACGCGCGCUACACUGACACGUUCAUCAAGUCUAUAACCUUGACCGAGAGGUCUGGGUAAUCUUUUAAAAACGUGUCGUGCUGGGGAUAGAUUAUUGCAAUUAUUAAUCUUCAACGAGGAAUUCCUAGUAAACGCAAGUCAUCAACUUGCAUUGAUUACGUCCCUGCCCUUUGUACACACCGCCCGUCGCUACUACCGAUUGAAUGAUUUAGUGAGUACCAGGGACCGAGCGCUUUGGUUGGGUUUCCUUCCCUAGCGCUUGGGAACUGUCGCAAACUUGACCAUUUAGAGGAAGUAAAAGUCGUAACA